ACAAGAAAAUGGAGUCAUGGUAAUCCAGGAAGAUGUGCUCGAUAGUUUCAGAUUUGUUACAUAUGAUGCACUUAACAGACCACGGAACAAAGAAGCCUUUACUUUGCAGCCAUGGCUUCACAGGGAGAGUGCCAGAAUGCAAUUGAAAAAAUAAUGUUUUCGCUGAAGGUCUAACAGGCAU
rnacentral:lncRNA from 1 species